rnacentral:rRNA from 1 species
CCUACGGGUGGCAGCAGUGAGGAAUAUUGGUCAAUGGGCGCGAGCCUGAACCAGCCAAGUCGCGUGAGGGAAGACGGUCCUAUGGAUUGUAAACCUCUUUUGUCGGGGAGCAAAAGACGCCACGCGUGGCGUUCCGAGAGUACCCGAAGAAAAAGCAUCGGCAAACUCCGUGCCAGCAGCCGCGGUAAUACGGAGGCUGCGAGUGUUAUCCGGAGUUAUUGGGUUUAAAGGGUGGGCAGGCGGCAGAUCAAGUCAGCGGGAAAAUUGAGAGGCUCAACCUCUUCGGGCCGUGGAAACUGGUUUUCUGGAGUGAGGGAGAAGUAUGCGGAAUGCGUGGUGUAGCGGUGAAAUGCAUAGAUAUCACGCAGAACUCCGAUGGCGAAGGCAGCAUACCGGCGCUCAACUGACGCUCAUGCACGAAAGUGUGGGUAUCGAACAGGAUUAGAUACCCCAGUAGUC